GGCUAACGCUGGCGGCGUGUCUAGCCAUGCAAGUCGAGCGGACUUAUGGGGUAACUUAUAAGUCAGCGGCGGACGGCGGAGUAACACGUAGCUAACCUACCCUCUGGACGGGGAUAACCUACCGAAAGGUGGGCUAAUACCCGAUGUAGUCAUCCUGUAUAGGGGUGAUGAAAGGUGGGCUUCUGUUUACAAGCUCAUGCUGGAGGAGGGGGCUGCGGCCUAUCAGGUAGUUGGUAGGGUAAUAGCCUACCAAGCCGAUGACGGGUAGCCGGCCUGAGAGGGUGACCGGCCCGAGGGGCACUGAGAUACGGGUCCCACUCCUACGGGAGGCAGCAGGCUAGAAAUUUGGGCAAUGGGGGAAACCCUGACCCAGUGACGCCGCGUGCAGGAAGGAGCCCUUCGGGGUGUAAACUGCUGUCGUGUAGGGAGAAGGGUACUAAGGUGAACAAUCUUAGUACUUGACGGUACUACAGGAGGAAGCCCAGGCUAACCUCGUG
rnacentral:rRNA from 1 species